GAUGAACGCUGGCGGCGUGCCUAAUACAUGCAAGUCGAGCGAACGGACGAGAAGCUUGCUUCUCUGAUGUUAGCGGCGGACGGGUGAGUAACACGUGGAUAACCUACCUAUAAGACUGGGAUAACUUCGGGAAACCGGAGCUAAUACCGGAUAAUAUUUUGAACCGCAUGGUUCAAAAGUGAAAGACGGUCUUGCUGUCACUUAUAGAUGGAUCCGCGCUGCAUUAGCUAGUUGGUAAGGUAACGGCUUACCAAGGCAACGAUGCAUAGCCGACCUGAGAGGGGGAUCGGCCACACUGAACUGAGACACGGUCCAGACUCCUACGGGAGGCAGCAGUAGGGAAUCUUCCGCAAUGGGCGAAAGCCUGACGGAGCAACGCCGCGUGAGUGAUGAAGGUCUUCGGAUCGUAAAACUCUGUUAUUAGGGAAGAACAUAUGUGUAAGUAACUGUGCACAUCUUGACGGUACCUAAUCAGAAAGCCACGGCUAACUACGUG
rnacentral:rRNA from 1 species